rnacentral:rRNA from 1 species
GAUGAACGCUGGCGGCGUGCCUAAUACAUGCAAGUCGAACGCUGAAGCUUGGUGCUUGCACCGAGCGGAUGAGUUGCGAACGGGUGAGUAACGCGUAGGUAACCUGCCUGGUAGCGGGGGAUAACUAUUGGAAACGAUAGCUAAUACCGCAUAACAGUAGAUAUUGCAUGAUAUCUGCUUGAAAGGUGCAAAUGCAUCACUACCAGAUGGACCUGCGUUGUAUUAGCUAGUUGGUGAGGUAACGGCUCACCAAGGCGACGAUACAUAGCCGACCUGAGAGGGUGAUCGGCCACACUGGGACUGAGACACGGCCCAGACUCCUACGGGAGGCAGCAGUAGGGAAUCUUCGGCAAUGGGGGGAACCCUGACCGAGCAACGCCGCGUGAGUGAAGAAGGUUUUCGGAUCGUAAAGCUCUGUUGUAAGAGAAGAACGAGUGUGAGAGUGGAAAGUUCACACUGUGACGGUAUCUUACCAGAAAGGGACGGCUAACUACGUG